AAGUCGUAACAAGGUCUCCGUUGGUGAACCAGCGGAGGGAUCAUUACCGAGUUUACAACUCCCAAACCCAAUGUGAACGUUACCAAACUGUUGCCUCGGCGGGAUCUCUGCCCCGGGUGCGUCGCAGCCCCGGACCAAGGCGCCCGCCGGAGGACCAACCUAAAACUCUUAUUGUAUACCCCCUCGCGGGUUUUUUUUAUAAUCUGAGCCUUCUCGGCGCCUCUCGUAGGCGUUUCGAAAAUGAAUCAAAACUUUCAACAACGGAUCUCUUGGUUCUG
rnacentral:misc_RNA from 1 species